ensembl:lncRNA
AUGUGCAGCUGUGGGCAGCAGGGACGGAGCUGAAAAUAAAUACACACAGCCUUGUUCAAAUAUUGACUGACUCGCCUGAACAAUUUGAUAUGCAAGCAGGCCACGUUUAAAGCACUCCUCCUCCGGCAUUCAACACAUCCUGCUGUCAAGGAUGUAGCGUGUUUGAGUGUCGGUGAUAUGACUGGCAGUUGUUUCCUCUCUCAACAUGCCUACAGCGAUGCACCUCGCCGUGAUGGUGGGCCUGCUGACAGCGACAAUCUGUAGCGGCAGGGGCACUUCCUCCGGACCUAAACAGGGAGAGAGGCUAACAAGUGCCACACAUGUCUCCAGCUCAGCCGUUUCAUCCACUGCACAAACUACCACCAACACAAAACCUACCACCAACACAAAACCUUCCGCCAACACAAAACCUUCCGCCAACACGAAACCUUCCACCAACACAAAACCUUCCACCAACCCAACACAGCCUCCAACAACAACCCACCAGAAUACUCCUGCAGCUGCUUCAGACUUGCCACAAACAACCAACAUGACGGAUGAAACUGAGCCCAGUUCUUCUCCUCAGAGUUCAACCGUCAACCAGACAUCUAAUGAGGCAGUUUCCCAAAGACCAACACUACCGCCAACAUCACGGCCACCAAAUGCCACGGAAACCACCACCGUGAACACGACCGGCUCAGCUCUUUCACCUGACGGGCAUAAAGGUGACUUGGCAGCCAACCCCGGCCUCGUGGCCAUCAUUUGCAUCUUCUGUAUCAUCCUGGGCCUUGUGCUGGUGGUUGCCACGGUGAAAUGUGUCCGAUCACAGAGGUCCAACUUCGAAAGGCUUGAAGAAAUGCCACUGGGCAAAGUGAACGAGCAGUCCCCGUUUGCCCAGUACUCAAAAUGACAGAGAAGGCUCCGUAAGACACCAGAGGCCCCAAGGACUUUUUCUGUUGGAGGACACUAACAUUUCUGGACAGAAAAAAACACAGAAAUGUUGUCCACACCAGCAGUGACUUUAGGCACAUACUAAAAGCAGCUUUAAUGCUUAUCUCUCAGGCUCUUACUUCUUUACAAAGCACUUUUAUCAUUGUCUGUGGAAUGUCUCUGCCUCAGGUUCGACCUGUUCGUUUGGCUGCUUGUAAUUCAAUUAAUUUAAGUCCUGAACCUUGAUCAAAUAGCGUUUGUACGAAAUAAUCCCCUAAUGUUUGUUUUGAAAAAUGAAUUGGUCUCAAAGGCAAAACUGUAAAUGUAAUGUUUCCUAAAAUCAUGACAUUUGAUCGUGUUAACACUUACGAUUUAUGACCGCACUUGUGACUUUAGAAGAACACAGUAUGUUUUAAGUUUCCAUAAUAACAGUUGGAUUUACAUACAAUGCUUAUAAAAAGUAUUUGCCCUCCUUUGAAGUUUUCUCCUUUUAUUGAUUUUAAACACUGAAGCAUGUUGGUGGCAGCAUCACCAUGUGAAGAUGCCUCUUUGCAGCAGGUCAUGGAUUGGUUGUAAAGGUGGGGGGGUAAAAUGAAAACAGCAAAGUGUCAGGGAAUCCUGGAUGAUAUGAUGCAGUCUGCAGGAGAACUGCAACUUGGGAGAAGAUUUUUUUCCAGCAAGACAAUGACCUGAAGCACACAGCCAACGUUACACAAAAUGGUGUAAAGAAAACAACAAAAAUGUUCUGGAGAGGCUGAGUCAGAG